UGAAGAGGAUUGUGACUGAGCGGCGGACGGGUGAGUAACGCGUGGGUAACCUGCCUCAUACAGGGGGAUAACAGUUAGAAAUGACUGCUAAUACCGCAUAAGACCACAGCACCGCAUGGUGCGGGGGUAAAAACUCCGGUGGUAUGAGAUGGACCCGCGUCUGAUUAGCUAGUUGGUAAGGUAACGGCUUACCAAGGCGACGAUCAGUAGCCGACCUGAGAGGGUGACCGGCCACAUUGGGACUGAGACACGGCCCAAACUCCUACGGGAGGCAGCAGUGGGGAAUAUUGCACAAUGGGGGAAACCCUGAUGCAGCGACGCCGCGUGAGCGAAGAAGUAUUUCGGUAUGUAAAGCUCUAUCAGCAGGGAAGAAAAUGACGGUACCUGACUAAGAAGCACCGGCUAAAUACGUGCCAGCAGCCGCGGUAAUACGUAUGGUGCAAGCGUUAUCCGGAUUUACUGGGUGUAAAGGGAGCGUAGACGGAUGGGCAAGUCUGAUGUGAAAACCCGGGGCUCAACCCCGGGACUGCAUUGGAAACUGUUCAUCUAGAGUGCUGGAGAGGUAAGUGGAAUUCCUAGUGUAGCGGUGAAAUGCGUAGAUAUUAGGAGGAACACCA
rnacentral:rRNA from 1 species